AUUAAUUAUAUAAAGGUAAAAUUAAGUGUCACGAAAAAAGGUGAGCUAAACAUAUAUGUAUUUAGUAUUAAGUACGUGGCAUAGUAGUUGUAAAUAUAUAUUUAGGGGUGAUAGGCCUUUCAAACUUUUUGAUAACUUGAUGCACACUAAAUGUAUUUAGUACACAUACAGACUUAAAAAGUUAAGCUUUUAAGUGUUUAUUAAAAAUAUGUUGGAUUAUUCGCGCAGGAUAAUUCCUAGCUAUAAAGUAUACUUAUAUUUAAUUUGUGUUAUUAUAUUAAUUAUUGUGCCAGUUAUAUUAAACAUAUGCUUGAUAAUGUUAGUAUUAGUAAAAUAAAAAAGUGCAUUUAAGGAACUCGGCAAAUUUUUCGCACAACUGUUUACCAAAAACAUAGCUGCUUGAAAUAAUAUGCAGUAAUUUCUGCUCCAUGAUUAGUAAAUAGCCGCAGUACUCUGACUGUGCAAAGGUAGCAUAAUCAGUUGGCUUUUAAUUAGAGUCUGGAAUGAAUGAAAACAUGUGUGGAAACUGUCUUAAUGUAUUUUUUUGAAUUUAAUAAGUGCGUGAAAAUGCUAACAAGAAUACAAAAGACGAGAAGACCCUAGAAACUUGAAUUAUUUUUUGUUGGGGCGACAAAAUUACAUUUAACUGAUUUUUUAAUACUUGACGUAAUAAUGAAAGACUAAGUUACUCUAGGGAUAACAGCAUAAUUUAAAUAGUUUGUGACCUCGAUGUUGGACUAGGUUUUAUACUCUUUAGGCAAGAGUAUAAAAUGCUCUGUUCGAGCAACUACACCUACAU
rnacentral:rRNA from 1 species